rnacentral:rRNA from 1 species
CAAAAACAUCGCCUCCCGCAAAAAUCAACGUAUAGGAGGUCCUGCCUGCCCAGUGACUAUAAGUUAAACGGCCGCGGUAUUUUGACCGUGCAAAGGUAGCGCAAUCACUUGUCUUUUAAAUGAAGACCCGUAUGAAUGGUGGAACGAGGGCUUAACUGUCUCCCCCUUCUAGUCAAUGAAAUUGAUCUACCCGUGCAGAAGCGGGUAUAAUUAUACAAGACGAGAAGACCCUUUGGAGCUUAAGAUAAAAGACCAACUAUAUCAAAAGUCCUAAAAUAAGACUAAACCAAAUAGUACUGGUCCUAAUCUUCGGUUGGGGCGACCACGGGAGAAAACAAAGCUCCCAUGAAGAUUGGGGUAAUUCCCUAAAACCAAGAGAGACAUCUCUAAGACGCAGAACAUCUGACCAUAAAGAUCCGGCUACUUGCCGACCAACGGACCAAGUUACCCUAGGGAUAACAGCGCAAUCCCCUUCCAGAGUCCAUAUCGACAAGGGGGUUUACGACCUCGAUGUUGGAUCAGGACAUCCUAAUGGUGCAGCCGCUAUUAAGGGUUC